rnacentral:rRNA from 1 species
GCCCAGUAGUAUGGGAUAGCCACUAGAAAUGGUGGGUAAUACUGUAUACGCCCUGCGGGGGAAAGAUUUAUCGCUACUGGAUGAGCCUAUGUUAGAUUAGCUAGUUGGUAGGGUAAAGGCCUACCAAGGCAGUGAUCUAUAGCUGGUCUGAGAGGAUGAUCAGCCACACUGGAACUGAGAUACGGUCCAGACUCCUACGGGAGGCAGCAGUGGGGAAUAUUGGACAAUGGGCGCAAGCCUGAUCCAGCUAUGCCGCGUGAGUGAGGAAGGCCUUAGGGUUGUAAAACUCUUUCAGCGGGGAAGAUAAUGACGGUACCCGCAGAAGAAGUCCCGGCAAACUCCGUGCCAGCAGCCGCGGUAAUACGGAGGGGGCAAGCGUUGUUCGGAAUUAUUGGGCGUAAAGGGCAUGUAGGCGGUUUGGUGAGUUAAAGGUGAAAUGCCAGGGCUUAACCCUGGAGCUGC